rnacentral:rRNA from 1 species
GACGAACGCUGGCGGCGUGCUUAACACAUGCAAGUCGAACGAAGUGGCGAACGGGUGAGUAAUACGUGAGUAAAUGCCCUCCUUUUUGGGAUAAGCCUUGGAAACGGGGUCUAAUACCGAAUAAAGGGGGAUGGGCCCGCGGGCUAUCAGCUUGGUGGUGGGGUGAUGGCCUACCAAGGCGGUGACGGGUAGCCGGCCUGAGAGGGGACCGGCGAAGUUGGGCUGAGAGACAGCCCAGACACCUACGGGAGGCAGCGGUGGGGGAUAUUGCACAAUGGGCGAAAGCCUGAAGCAGCGACGCCGCGUGCGGGAUGACGGCCUUCGGGUUGUAAACCGCUUUCAGCCAUGACGCGGUAGUGGCAGAAGAAGCACCGGCUAACUACGUGCCAGCAGCCGCGGUAAUUC